rnacentral:rRNA from 1 species
UACGGAGGGUGCUAACGUUAUCCGGAAUCACUGGGCGUAAAGCGCAUGUAGGUGGUUGAGCAAGUGAGCGAUUAAAGACCGACGCUUAACGUCGGGCCUGUUGCUUAUACUACUCGACUUGAGGUUGGCAGGGGUAAGCGGAACUUUGGGUGUAGGAGUGAAAUCCGUAGAUAUCCAAAGGAACACCAAUGGCGAAGGCAGCUUACUGGGCCUCACCUGACACUGAGAUGCGAAAGCGUGGGGAGCGAACGGG